AACGAACGCUGGCGGCAUGCCUAACACAUGCAAGUCGAACGAGACCUUCGGGUCUAGUGGCGCACGGGUGCGUAACGCGUGGGAACCUGCCCUUAGGUUCGGAAUAACUCCCCGAAAGGGGUGCUAAUACCGGAUAAUGUCUUCGGACCAAAGAUUUAUAGCCUUUGGAUGGGCCCGCGUUGGAUUAGCUAGUUGGUAGGGUAAAAGCCUACCAAGGCGACGAUCCAUAGCUGGUCUGAGAGGAUGAUCAGCCACACUGGGACUGAGACACGGCCCAGACUCCUACGGGAGGGAGCAGUGGGGAAUAUUGGACAAUGGGCGAAAGCCUGAUCCAGCAAUGCCGCGUGAGUGAUGAAGGCCUUAGGGUUGUAAAGCUCUUUUACCCGGGAUGAUAAUGACAGUACCGGGAGAAUAAGCGCCGGCUAACUCCGUG
rnacentral:rRNA from 1 species